UAAAAAGAAACGGAGGGACUACGUAAAUUAAUUUGUGACGGGACUACUAAGCUCAUUUAUUAUCUCAAAAGCAAUCCUACUGAAAUAAAACAAUGAUAAUUAGCAGUUCUAUGCCUCUACUUUAGCUACUCUGUGUUCAUAUCCUUCCUUUGGACUGGGAACCCUCUAUUUCUAUCAUUCUAUUAGAUAACAAAUGAUGCAAGCGAAUUAAAAAUAGUAGUGGUUAUUGACGACAUCUUAAUUAAGUUGUACCUUAUAAGCUGAUUAAGUUAUAGUGGGCUACAGAGUUAUAUUGUUCAUCCAGGCAGCAAAUAUCUUCACAUAUUCUGUUAUAAUAGUUGUCACCAUGGAGACACCUGCAUUUAUAGUUGACAUAGCUAAUCCAUAUAACUAAAAAUAACUUUUAUAGCUUCCAUUAUAUUUUUGCAUAUGAAGACAACUGGCGUUUCACACUUUCAUAACACAUGAAGUACUACGACAUUACAAAGAACAUUAGAGCAGAUGUUAAAUCAAUUUCUUCUCAAAUUCAGAAUGAGGAUCGGGUGGUGGAUGCAUAAAUAGUUUUGACUAUUCGUCACCCUCGAUGAGGAAUAGUUAUUCUUCACCCCCUUUAUUUUAACAUCAAUGCACCAUAAUUUUACGUUUCAUAAAUUUUUGUCUUCUUUCAUACGUAAUAAGAGAACGUAAAAAAUAAUGUAAUCACUGUAAAAAAUAUUUUAUGUUACGUAAAAUUACACACGUAAAAAUAUAGUGUAAAAUAUACAUAAAAUGCAUUUUUUUCUGGUCAUAUGAUCUAUAUUUUUUUAUGCCAAAUUUUACGUAGUGAAUCGACAUGAAGGUAACUAUUUGUAUUCCAUAUGUAAUUUAUUUAUGAAGCGAUCGUAAGAUUACCUCGGACGAAGAGUAACUUAUUUUGCACCCUGGGUGAUGAAUAGUAACUAAUAUAUAUAUAUGGAGAGCUUCAAAUCUGGAGAGCUGGGAGAGUGAGCCUCUCGGGGAUUGGUAGGUCAGUGCCCCCAAACUGCAGCGACAGGAGGCAAGGGAGAUGCUCGGCAUGGAAGGGUGAGAUCUAGAAGAUGGAGAACCUGAUGAUGGUGGUGGCACCUAGAAAAAUAUAUGCAUCCGACACACUAUCAACUAUUUGCAAAUCAGACACAUGUCUGGAGUGAAUACAUCAAAUCCUUGUCAUUUUAAAUUAACCACAGAAUUGCCUCCAUUAUCAGUAAAAAUUCAACUACUCACCAUGGAGCUAGUACUCCGGCACCACAAUACUGUUGACAGCAUGCUUUAUUCGACAACUUGAUGCAUGAGCAGAAGUACCUAUUAGAUCUGAAAGAGCCUGAUUGGUCUAGCUGAACUAAUUCACUUAAUUAUAAGACAUGAUAUUUGAUUACUUAGAUGGCAGUGUUCCGAUAAUUUCUCAGUAAACCAAAGGGAUCAGUGAAUCGCACCAAACAUGGUAGAAACACAAAUACAAGUACCGUUCCACAUAUCUACUGGUAAAAAAAAACUGCAGAUUGAUGGAAGCACUUGUAAUCCAUAUAAUAGGCCCAUUCAUAUUACUGAUAUACUGAUGAUCUAAAGAAAUACAAGUACUGUUUCACAUAUCUGUUGGUAAAAAAAACUGCAGAUGGAUGCAUGGUAGCACUUGUAAUCCAUAUAACAGGCCCAUUCAUAAUUUCAUAUUACUGAUAUACUGAUGUGCUAAGGAAAUAUUCAUAGGCUGACACUACCAGGUUAAUAACUUAAUUGGUGAAGUGAUGUACAGAUCGAGCAGGAACACCCAAGAUCAAGCAGGAAGGCCUGGGAAACAAACAUGAAAAUAUAUCGACCGAAGGACCAAAGGCCGAGUAGGAAUUUCAUACUCAAUUGAACGCCCCAUGACCGAUCGAUGGACAUGAGGCUGCGGCCGCUGUCGUGUGCUCCUGCGUUCCCGGCGGCAUGGAGGAUAGCGUGUCCUUGGCACCGGUGGCAGCUCUGUGCGUACACGUCCUCAAUCUUGGCAGCCAAUAGAACACCUUAGGACCACGCGUGCAGAGGAGCCAAGUGGGCAGGUAGUGUCAUGGGACAGUGGCGACGACGGGGAUGAGUGGCGGCAGCGGAGCCAAGGAGCACACGGAGCCAAAAUAAGCUAGUCAGAUCAAUCUUUCCAAUACUACUCCUCAGCCAUUUCUUGCCCUAAUAUUAAAAUGUUUAAUGGAAAAGGAAUUCCUAUACCUGAGAAUUGCACAAGCAUUCCUGUACACCAGUCCAACCGGUACGGUUAGUGGAGGCCGAUUGUCCUUGUCUGGAUAGUCUCCUUCAUCACUGAACGAUCUUUGGCAAGACCAAGUUCUGAGCUCUGCAGUUUUACAUCCCUCCUCCUUUAAAUUAGGUGAGUUGCGCCCCGAGGUAGUAGCAUUGUCAUAGCUGCUUUCCUAGAAUACACAGAACAGAUCUAAGUAACUUGAUGAGUCCAGUUCACAACAUCGUGUAACACCCGUAUGUUAAGUUAACCAUGCUCUAUACAAAAAGAAGUGUGACAUAGCUGUUUGGAAACAUACUUCAGAAACUCUACUUUUCUGAAGAUUGAAGCCCCAUUGACAACUCUAGAUCACACACACAUAACAGGCAUAUAUGUAGGGAUCUCGGUUUAAAGUUUCAACUUUGCAACUAUACAUUGUAAAAAUUAUGUUCGAUCCCCAAAUUCUGUUUGUGAUAUGCGUGCAGGGGUGAUCAACACUGUUCUAUGGACACCAUGGCGAACUAACCUUGUGAAGGAAUUUGAUAAUGGAGCAGAAGGGCAAGUACUGGCAGAUUUAGAUCGAAUCGUCAGUUCCGCACCAGCUGCGGCCACUGAUGGAGAAGUUCGAGCUCUCCGAGUGAAACUCAUAUUCGGCUGUCCCGCGACAUUUGCCCGUGCGUUGAUCACCCGCUAAGAGCAAGAACAUGAUGAGAAAUUAUGAGUAAUUUCUAAGUAGUAAAUUUAUACAAGGAUCAAUAUCUAUACUUUGGAAAGAUUACUUAAGAGUCUGUUGGAUGAAUUCUACUGAACAUCUAUGAUGAAAUACAUCAUUAGUCACACGUACAAUUCCGAAGAUGAAAUAUAUGAAGUAUUAGUACUGCGAGCCAAAAAUUAUAGGAAAGCAAUUCAAAAUAUUAGGGGUAAUGAAAGCUUCCAUUUUCUAAAUAACCUCGUAGGGGGGAUAUCUUGGUAGUUUACGAUAUAUAUGUGGCAAGAACUGCGUGUUUAACAUGAAAUCACCUAUCAGCAGUUGCCUGGUGAUGAUAGAAAAAUCUGAUCAUUUCAGCGAUGUUAAUUUGUCAAGAUUUAUACGACAUCAUGCUGAAUUUUGCAUAACUUAUGAAAACUUAUGAACAAUUGCCACUGUUCUUUAUGCUGUCAUUUUCAUAUUAGUGAACUAAAAAUAAUAGCAUAUCAUCUGCUAUUAUUAUGCUUUAACAUGAACUAUUCACGUUUAAAUUGGCAAAACCAAACAUAAAUUAGAUUAGCGAAAACAUUGCAAAAGCCUGUAACUGGAGAGAAUUAAUAGACACGUACAAUAUGUUUUCUUAUUAGAUUAGCAAAAACAAUUGCUGAGCAUGUUUUCUUAUUCNNNNNNNNNNAGCCAAAAUAAGCUAGUCAGAUCAAUCUUUCCAAUACUACUCCUCAGCCAUUUCUUGCCCUAAUAUUAAAAUGUUUAAUGGAAAAGGAAUUCCUAUACCUGAGAAUUGCACAAGCAUUCCUGUACACCAGUCCAACCGGUACGGUUAGUGGAGGCCGAUUGUCCUUGUCUGGAUAGUCUCCUUCAUCACUGAACGAUCUUUGGCAAGACCAAGUUCUGAGCUCUGCAGUUUUAC
rnacentral:lncRNA from 1 species